rnacentral:rRNA from 1 species
UACAGAGGGGGCAAGCGUUAUUCGGAAUUAUUGGGCGUAAAGGGCGCGUAGGCGGCCUGACAAGUGGAAGGUGAAAUCCCUCGGCUUAACCGAGGAACUGCCCUCCAAACUGUUUGGCUUGAGUCCGGGAGAGGUGAGUGGAAUUCCCAGUGUAGCGGUGAAAUGCGUAGAUAUUGGGAGGAACACCAGUGGCGAAGGCGGCUCACUGGACCGGAACUGACGCUGAGGAGCGAAAGCUAGGGGAGCAAACGGG